GCGAGUUCGGCAUCUCUCUGUAGUUUCAACUUGUCACGAAGCUCUCUCUAUCUUGGAAAUGCAACUCCAAUAUUUACCCGUGUCUUGUUGCUUCUCUUGUCCCAAAACCAUCUCGGGUCAUUUAUUUAACCCGUGCGUUUGCGCUUCACAGAACGUGCAGGCAAAGCAUAAUCAUGAUCCCUAACUAAGUUAUUGAUUGAGGUUUAAAUACGAAUAUAAACAAUAUAAAUAUAAAAUAUAAUAGUCUCGAUCAAGGCUACUACUUUUUUUUCUUCAUCUCGUCUUUGUUUCUGUUCACCUUUGUAUUUGGCAGUUCCGCAGGAAGUUAGAUAAACUAGAGGGGUCAAAGUUUAUAUGACGCCAUAGACGGGCGACAAAACGGAAAUAAAGAAACGUGCCGUGUCUUCUAAUUAAACUAUAAUUUUCUCCAGAUUUGAAAGUUCGUGGAAACUGUCGGGAUGAUGAAGAGUUUUGGUGUUUGAUGUUCACAGUCACGCAUAUCAUGGAUCCAUAACAAUGACGAAUUGCACUCAGCCUGAUUCAACAGCAAGCAAGAGGAAAAAAGUCGAGGAACUCAGAAAGGGCUGUGUGAGGACGAACCGCUGACCAACAUCUGGAGGCACAUUUAAUGAUCAUUAAAAGCGUGACGGGAUAUUUACUGAAUGGGAGGAAAAGAGUGGGAAGCUGCAGGGCUUUCGAAGGCACCGAAUGGUUCUGUAAUGCAAGUCCUUGUGAAGAAUUCAAACCUGGAGACUUUAAAUUUAACAGGCCUUGUUUUCAGUUUAUGUGUACCAGUAAACUUGCAUCCAAAUACAUCUACUGUGGGUGGCUGUUUUGGUCUGCCUCACUGUCAGAUUUAACCUAAGGUUCCCAGACUAAAAAAUGCUCUAAACAGAAGCCUUG